AACGAACGCUGGCGGCAUGCCUAACACAUGCAAGUCGAACGAGACCUUCGGGUCUAGUGGCGCACGGGUGCGUAACGCGUGGGAACCUGCCCUUAGGUUCGGAAUAACUCCCCGAAAGGGGUGCUAAUACCGGAUAAUGUCUUCGGACCAAAGAUUUAUCGCCUUUGGAUGGGGCCGCGUUGGAUUAGCUAGUUGGUAGGGUAAAAGCCUACCAAGGCGACGAUGCAUAGCUGGUCUGAGAGGAUGAUCAGCCACACUGGGACUGAGACACGGCCCAGACUCGGACGGGAGGGAGGGGUAGAGAAUAUUGGAGGAGGGACGAUAGCCUGAUACAGCAGUGCGGCGGAAGACAUGAAGGCCUUAGGGUUGUAAAGCUGUUUUACCCGGGAUGAGAAUGACAGUACCGGGAGAAUAAGCUCCGGCUAACUCCGUG
rnacentral:rRNA from 1 species